rnacentral:rRNA from 1 species
AUCGAACGCUAGCGGGAUGCUUUACACAUGCAAGUCGAACGAGUGGCGGACGGGUGAGUAAUAUAUCGGAACGUGCCCAGUAGUGGGGGAUAACUACUCGAAAGAGUGGCUAAUACCGCAUACUAUUGGAGUGGCCGAUACCGGAUUAGCUAGUUGGUGGGGUAUAGGCUCACAAAGGCAACGAUCCGUAGCUGGUUGGAGCGGACGACCAGCCACACUGGGACUGAGACACGGCCCAGACGCGUACGGGAGUCAGAGGUGGGGAAUUGUGGACGACGGGGGAAACCCCGAUCCAGCGAUCCAGCGUGAAUGAGAAGGCCCGUGGGUUGUAAAGUACUUUUGGCAGAGCAGAGGUAUCUGCAGAAUGAGCUCCGGCUAACUACGUGCCAGCAGCGGCGGUAAUAC